UACGUAGGGUGCGAGCGUUAAUCGGAAUUACUGGGCGUAAAGCGUGCGCAGGCGGUUUUGUAAGCCCGGUGUGAAAUCCCCGGGCUCAACCUGGGAACUGCAUUUGUGACUGUAGAGCUGGAGUACGGCAGAGGGGGAUGGAAUUCCGCGUGUAGCAGUGAAAUGCGUAGAUAUGCGGAGGAACACCGAUGGCGAAGGCAAUCCCCUGGGCCUGUACUGACGCUCAUGCACGAAAGCGUGGGGAGCAAACAGG
rnacentral:rRNA from 1 species